rnacentral:lncRNA from 1 species
UUUUUUUUGUACGUCGGAACGUGUGUAGCAAUCUUUUCUUUUUCCUCUUCUUCGUCUAUCGUCUCGUUCCCCGUAUUGAUCUCGAUUCUCGUAUUUAUAAUGGGAGGGGUGGUGAGAGAUAUUUUGAGGGAUUCAAAAUUCGAAAUUAAAUUUUGAAUAGUUUGUUGUGGUUGGUCGAAAGAUAUUUGGGAUUGGUUGGAAAUUCAAAAUUCGAAAUCAAAUUUUGAAUGGGUUGUUAGAUGGUUGGAAGAUAUUUUGGGAAUUGAUUCGAAAUUCGAAAUCGAAUUUUGAAUAGGUUGUGGAAAAUAUUUUGGGAGUUAGUUGGAAAUUUAAAAUUCGAAAUUGAAUUUUGAAUGGGUUGUUGGAUGGUUGGAAGAUAUUUUGGGAAUUGGUUAGGAAUUCGAAAUUCGAAAUCGAAUUUUGAAUAGGUUGGGGGGUGGUUGGAAGAUAUUUUGGGAGUUGGUUGGAAAUUCGAAAUUUGAAAUCAAAUUUUGAAUGUGUUGUUGGAUGGUUGGAGGGUAUUUUGGAAAUUGGUUAGGAAUUCGAAAUUCGAAAUCGAAUUUUGAAUGGGUUGUUGGAUGGUUGGAGGGUAUUUUGGGAAUUGGUUGGGAAUUCGAAAUUCGAAAUCGAAUUUUGAAUGGGUUGUUGGAUGGUUGGAGGGUAUUUUGGGAAUUGGUUGGGAAUUCGAAAUUCGAAAUCGAAUUUUGAAUGGGUUGUUGGAUGGUUGGAGGAUAUUUUAGAAAUUGGUUGGGAAUUCGAAAUUGAAUUUUGAAUGGGUUGUUGGAGGAUAAUUUGGGAAUUAGUUGAGAAUUCCAAAUUCGAAAUCGAAUUUUGAAUGGGUUGUGAUUUGAAAUCGAAUUUCGAACAGAUAUUUUAUAGGAUGUGGAUGUGAGCCGUCGUUGAUCAGGCCCACUUUAAUUUAUUGGGUCCAAAUGAUAAUAUUUAAUGGGCUGGAAUGAGGCCCCCUUUUAUUUAUUUGCAUGGGCUUUCAUAAGGCCCACCAACUCACAUUUAUGAAUAAGCCUAUUGAAUAUUUGAACUAUAAUUAUUGGCCCAAAAAUUUAAUGGUUAACACGAGACCUAUUUGGAUUAUAUGAACUCGAAUCUAAUCGUUUUUUUAUUAUGAUUAGGAUUGUUUCAUCCUAUAUAAGUAUUAUUUUACUGCAAACACCAAGCUUUCACUUGGUCGAAUAUGUG